rnacentral:lncRNA from 12 species
AUGGCAACAGGUUCCCGGGCUCCAUCCCGCUUCUGUUCCCGCUUCUCCCACCCACGAAGACGCCGUGUGAGGGGGUGGCCGGGCCCCCUCCCCUCCCUGCGCUGCGGCAGCGCCCCCCCCCCCCCCCCCCCCCCCCCCCCCCCCCCCCGGGUGGGGACAAAUCAGGGACAGGCGCCAGCACAGCCAAGUGUCUUCAUGGAGACCAAAACCUUGGGACAAGAUCCGUGCGCUGCUGAUGUGUCCCUGCGCCUGCGGAGCACCAUCCUCGCUGGACACGGAUCCAGGAUGGAAAAGAACCUGGCCCCGGCACAGGGGGGUCCCCAUUCCUACCCCACACCCCCUCUCUGGAGGCUGUGGGUGGAGGUGCAAGGGCGUGAGCCCCUCGCCGGCCGCGGCGCCCCGACACGUGUCACAAUAGUAAUGUAAUUUGUCCGUUAACAAUGGGCAGCUUGAGGUUUAUAUUUAAUUACACCGAUCGCAC